rnacentral:tRNA from 1 species
GGAGGAUUACCCAAGUCCGGCUGAAGGGAACGGUCUUGAAAACCGUCAGGCGUGUAAAAGCGUGCGCGGGUUCGAAUCCCACAUCCUCCU